rnacentral:rRNA from 1 species
AAACUUUCAACAACGGAUCUCUUGGUUCUCGCAUCGAUGAAGAACGCAGCGAAACGCGAUAGUUAAUGUGAAUUGCAGAAUUCAGUGAAUCAUCGAGUCUUUGAACGCACAUUGCGCCCAUUGGUAUUCCGAUGGGCAUGUCUGUUUGAGCGUCAUUA